UACGGAGGGGGCUAGCGUUGUUCGGAAUUACUGGGCGUAAAGCGUGCGUAGACGGUUACAUAAGUCGGGUGUGAAAGCCCCGGGCUCAACCUGGGAAUUGCAUUCGAGACUGCGUAGCUAGGGUGCGGAAGAGGGAAGCGGAAUUUCCGGUGUAGCGGUGAAAUGCGUAGAUAUCGGAAGGAACACCAGUGGCGAAAGCGGCUUCCUGGUCCAGCACCGACGUUCAGGCACGAAAGCGUGGGGAGCAAACGGG
rnacentral:rRNA from 1 species